AUCUAUCCCUGGCAUGCGCCUCCAGCUGGGAUGUCAGCACAGAGCCCUGGGAGCUGCUGACUUCCCGUGCUGCCGGCUCCGAGGCUGGAGCAGAAGCGUGGCAUUGUUACACUUGGCAAAGUUUAUCCUCACCCCCAGGAAGGAUGGAGGCACGUCACUGAGCUCUGAUGGUGUGUGACGCACCUAUGUGUAGCUGGAGAUGGAUGGCAGCAUGGCUUUGGAGGAGUUAUCCUGGUCCUUGCUGGUGUAAUCAGGAGAGCGUGGCCUGGAGAAACUGCCACGGUGGGUUAGAUCAGCUGAGCUGGUCUCACCCCAGCACAUGGUUGCAAAGCAAGGCAGGAGAGCAGAGAGAGGACCAGCAGCCUUGUGCAAGACCAUCAGUGCUGGAAAGUCAGACCUGCAGAAAUUAAUUAAAAUAAGAGCAGUGGGAACAGAAGUUGAGAGCUACAGUGAUGGAUGUUCACGAAACACUUGCCCAGAGCUCAGAGUGCCCUGGACAUUCGGUGAUGUUUGCUUCCAGCCAAGGAGCUGUGCAGUACUUAAACACACUCAAAGCAGUGGUGAUUAGGGAAUCAGCCUCUGAUAUCUGGGUGUGGGUCCACUGCACCCAGAGCUGAUGCCCUCUCUCCACUGGGAUUUGCACUUGGAGCUGCCAGCGCUGGUUUGUCAUGGAUUGCAUCCCCUGGCUGCAAAGGGAGUUUUAUGUUCUCUAAAUCCUAAACCUUAGGUUGUGUAUUAAUAGCAUGGUAAUGCAUCACUUUUGUGUCCAGCACAAGCCAGGGGUUAUAUAAAACACAGAUUAAUGGGAAUCAGCAAAAUAGAGGAGCAUGGGGAGGGAUGAGGUGAGGAUGUCUUGGGAGGGGAGGCAGGAGGGAGGUGGCAGGUCCAGAGGGAAGAGAAGGUGGCUGAGUGGAUUCAGAGCACUUCCUGGCAGGAUUUGCUCCAGUUAUCGUUCUGCAGUCCCUGAUUCAGAACAUUUCCUGAACCAGCAGGUCUGCAACCAGGGGUCUUUUGUCCCUGGGUGAUAACAAGACAGCAGGGUCUGGGAAUUUGACUGGAAAUGGCUGUUUUUUC